GAUGAACGCUGGCGGCGUGCCUAAUACAUGCAAGUCGAGCGAACGGACGAGAAGCUUGCUUCUCUGAUGUUAGCGGCGGACGGGUGAGUAACACGUGGAUAACCUACCUAUAAGACUGGGAUAACUUCGGGAAACCGGAGCUAAUACCGGAUGAUAUUUUGAACCGCAUGGUUCAAAAGUGAAAGACGGUCUUGCUGUCACUUAUAGAUGGAUCCGCGCUGCAUUAGCUAGUUGGUAAGGUAACGGCUUACCAAGGCAACGAUGCAUAGCCGACCUGAGAGGGGGAUCGGCCACACGGGAACUGAGACACGGUCCAGACUCCUACGGGAGGCAGCAGUAGGGAAUCUGCCGCAAGGGGCGAAAGCCUGACGAAGCAACGCCGCGUGAGUGAUGAAGGUCUUCGGUUCGUAAAACUCUGUUAUUAGGGAAGAACAUAUGUGUAAGUAACUGUGCACAUCUUGACGGUACCUAAGCAGAAAGCCACGGCUAACUACGG
rnacentral:rRNA from 1 species